rnacentral:lncRNA from 1 species
CAACAUUGCUUCCUGUCCCAACACCACAAAAACGAUAAUUUUCUCUCUCUUUGCAAAAGAUUCAGAAAAUCCAGUCCAUUACAUAUUCAAUCCAUCAAUUUCUUGUUGUAGUUGCUGCUAAUCGAUUCAAUCAACACAAAUCCAAUAAAUCCUAUGCAUACAACCAUCAUUUUUUUUUCUUCUUAUAAUGAAUAACUUACAACAAUAAGCUACUUUUCAAAAUUUAAACAUGCAAAAGACCUGAAACUCAAAAAUCAAAGUUCAAUUCAAUUUCCGUAUUUCCAAAUCAACUAAAUCCCAAAUUAUAAGUUCCAUUUAAUUUCCACAGCUACUGGUUUCCCGUAAUAACAUAAUAGGCAGAGAGUCAAAUCUCGAAAUAAAGAUAAGCCUAAUUCAUCCAAAAAAA